UUGGAGGGCAAGUCUGGUGCCAGCAGCCGCGGUAAUUCCAGCUCCAAUAGCGUAUAUUAAAGUUGUUGCAGUUAAAAAGCUUGUAGUUGAAUUUCGGGGUUAGUAGGUUGGUCAUGCCACUGGUAUGUACUGGUCUCACUGAUUCCUCCUUCCUGAUGAGACGUAAUGCCAUUAAUUUGGUGUUGCGAGGAAUCUGGACUGUUACUUUGAAAAAAUUAGAGUGUUUAAAGCAGGCUAACGCUUGAAUACAUUAGCAUGGAAUAAUGAAAUAGGACGUUCGAUCUUAUUCUGUUGGUUUCUAGGAUUGACGUAAUGAUCAAUAGGGAUAGUUGGGGGCAUUAGUAUUCAAUUGUCAGAGGUGAAAUUCUUGGAUUUAUUGAAGACUAACUACUGCGAAAGCAUAUGCCAAGGAUGUUUUCAUUAAUCAAGAACGAAAGUUAGGGGAUCGAAGACGAUCAGAUACCGUCGUAGUCUUAACCAUAAACUAUGCCGACUAGGGAUCGGAUGAUGUUAAUUUUUUAAUGACUCAUUCGGCGCCUUACGGGAAACCAAAGUGUUUGGGUUC
rnacentral:rRNA from 1 species